ensembl:lncRNA uncharacterized LOC114789626
UGUCUGUGUAAACUAUAUUUAACAACUCUUAAUCACAGUUUCAUUUAUUACUUCACUUAUGGGUCUACAUGAGGAUUAACUUACUGUUUAUUAGAGAUCAACUAACAUAUUUAUUCAAUAAACUAACAAUAUCCUGUCAUAAUCAUGCAUCAUGUACACUGACGUCUAUAUCUUCUCUGUGCAUGUUCAGAGACAGACAGAAGAUGCACGCGGGGAAAGACAUUUACCAUCUGAGCAACAUUCAGAUAUUUAAGAACAGCGAAAUCUAUCUCAUGACAAGCAUUCCACGGGUGUUACGAGGUCUGGGUGAGGCAUGUGACUGCUAAAAAUAUUAUCCUGGUCACAUGGGACAGGUUAAUUACAGUCAGCACUUUGCAAUAUAUAGGAAAUGCUCUUUGCAGUUUGCACAGGUUGACUUCAAGGGCUACUGUGACACACAUUGUUGGUGGUGUAAAUAGGUGAAGAGAGGAUGGCUGAGACGGACGUGCUGAUCUGCGAUGCUGGUCUGAUGAGGAACGUGUGGGAGAUCAGAGCGAGGGAAUACGGACAAAAGCUGCAGAAAGAGGACGACAGACUGCAGAACAGUGCAUUACAAAAGAUCAACAAUGAAUGGCAAGAUCGUAUUGGGUCCAAGUACAAGACCAUAAGAAAAUCGGAAAGGCGAAGCAAAGCACCUGAAACCACUGAUAUUUUUGGCAAACAGCAAAUGUCUGUACCCAAGUCAAAGGUAUUUAACAUAGACAAAGGUAGAAGCUUCCUGAACAGUCAACAACAAAAGGAGAAGGACAUGAUGACGAUGAGAAAUAAGCACUCCCUUUUAUCAAGACUUGGUGACACCCAGCCCAGUAUGACAAUGUGGAAAAAUUCUUGGAAGAUUUCCAAUCUUUCUUCAGAAGACAUUAAAGUCCACAAAGACAUAUCUGACUGGGGGCAAGAUUGGAAAUUAUUUCAUUUCCAACCUUUCCUUGAAGAAAAAUCUUGGACAAUGGAUGAUAGUGUGAAUUAUACGAGUGAUCAUGCUGCUAAGGUUCUGCUGUGGGAGAAAUCUGAUAGAUCUUAUGACAUAGAGCACUUUAUUAACCUUGUAGUACCAGAAUGGGAGAAGUCUUGGAAAUAUAGAAAGACUAUCAGAGAUGAACCUAAGCAGCAGGCAGACACGGAGCCUUUAAAGUUUGAAAAGAGUAGUAAUGGAGAAACCUGUGGCACUGAAAGGUCAGCCUCUGAGUGGAUGGAUGCUUGGAUGACCACAAAAACCUUACAGAGGGCAGAAAUAUGUUCCACAACCAACAAACCACAAAAUGAGAUAAACAUCAACCAGAGAACGGAAUUAAAAGCAGAAUGGAAUCAAUCCUGGAUGCAUUUCCAUCAUGUCCUCCAUCCACCACUACAAGCAUCACCAGGAUGUAAGUGGAAUGAAUCUUGGAAGCUCUCUCAAUCGAAUCAGAACAAAAACGAGAAUUUAAAGAAAUCUAAGAAUGCUCCAAUUAUUGAAGCACAGCAUCCCAGCUUCCACCCAAUCGUUGUGAAUGAGACUCCACUACAGAAGAACAAAAAUUGGCGAUCCUGUCUGUGUGGAGCAUACUCAUUCUUAUCUGAAUGGGAGCAAUCCUGGAUGAUUACAAAAAAACUGUCAGAAAAAAUGAAGGACCCUCCAGAAUGCAAAGGUAAUACAAACAAAGAAGAAACAAGUGUUGAGAAAAACACCCAAAAUCAGAAUGCAAAGCAUAUCACAUACAGACAGUUUAGACAUAUGGCUAGACAUAUGGAUUUGCCCAAUGAGUGGAAUGAGGCAUGGAAACUUUCCAGGCAUCAGAAAGAAAGGAAAGUUAUGGGAUUUGAAUAUUUACACCUACGCCAUGUAAAGAACAGAUUACUUGCAGACUGGAAAGAAUCCUGGAAAUGCUCAAGGGCCUACAGCUAUCAUGGCAGGCCAUCUCUAACGGAAUGGACUGAUUCAUGCUUCUCAGUGUUUAAACAUGAACCAGAAGGAGAGUGUUGGUCAAAGCAUACAGACAUUUGGACAUGCCAGGAAAACCUUGCCAAAUGUGAGGAAUUCUCAUUGCCAAAAAGAGGCACAUUACCAAGGCUGCUUGACAUCUCAGGAGACAGAGAAAAGGAAAGCCGUUUGGCCUGGAAGGAUUCCUGGCGGUCUUUGAAACAUCAGCGUAAAAUUGAUGUUGUCAGACUCCUGCCCUUGAAAGAGCCCCAGAGGCAGGAGGCACCUGUAUUGGAGUGGAAAAAUUCCUUCAGGUUCACAAAUCUAACACUGAAGCAGGACAGCAACAUGUGGAUUCAGGACUGGUCCACCAAUGCCCAGUAUGUUAGACAAGAGAGAUGGACAGUAGAAAACAUGUUUCUCAAUGAAGACAAAACUCAUAAUGGUCCGACAGGACUUAAAGGCUGGAAUGAAUCCUGGAAGUGUGCAAGGCGCCAGCACCACGUGAAAGGAGAGUUGACAGAAAGCUGCCAAACGGAACCAUUUUCAGCAGACUUGCUUGAUUCAUGGAAAUUCUCAAGCACCGAUUUUCAUCACAGUAAACCCUCCAUGACAGAGUGGACUGGUUCCUGGAGGUUGUCUGGCUACCCAUGGGGCAACCUGGGGCAACAACAAAGAAGCCCAUUUAAUUCAAUGCAAAUCAACUUUGAACACAAAGCAGAUAGAUUCAACAGAUUUUUCCAUCCUAGUUUAUUCAGUCAAGAUCAACCUUUGUUAGAAUGGAGAGAUUCUAUGUGGACUCUUCAAAGGCAGCUGAAAAAACAUCUUGGUGACAAACAACACACUGAUUUUCAGUUUGGAAAGAUGGUAUCAGUUCCAGACUGGGCGAAAUCAUGGAAGCUUACACAUCUUCACCUGCAGCAGAAAAAAGAAUCAUGGGAAAGAGUUUGGGAUUCAUAUGAGAUUGAAGUACUUGUAAUAGAGAUGGAAUAUCCGUCGGAUUUCCCACAGUCCAGUGUUGCACAGAUUGCCAAAAAGUGGGCCAUGUCCUGGAAGAGUUCUGUCCCCCAGAAUCAUAUAGAUAAAACCUGGGGGAAUGAAAAGGCUCAGAUAUUUCCAUCAAAUAUAAUCUAUUGGCCAAAGCAAAAUGUUCAUGACAAUCUCAAAAACAUAAAUAUGCAAAGAUUCAAAAAAGAAAAGACAUCAUUAAAAUUGUGGGGCACAUCCUGGAAGUUCUCAAAGUCACUAGACAACCUUGAAUCACUGAAAAUUGAUCUGGAUAAUUCAAUACUAAUGACAAGUAGAACGAAUGCACGGAAGCACAUUUACUCUCAGAUAGACCAGGGAAAACCAAAUGAGAAACGAUGGGCUGAUGCUUGUAAACUAUCAAAAACACAGCCAAGGUUCACAAAAGCUUCUUCUGUAAAAAGUAACAAAACAAAAUCAUCAUAUGAAAGCUUUCUAGAUUGGGCAGAUUCUUGGAAAUUCUCAAGUGAACACCUGAGCAAAACAUCUGGGACACCAACAGCAUCUCUGACAGAGUGGAUGGAUUCCUGGAGGUCUUUGCUUACACCUUUCUGAAAAGGAAAUGGACAAAUGUCCAGUUAGCAUAAAUAAGGCAAAGAUGAAUAUGCACGAAUCAUAAGUGCUGAUAUAUGUUGGUAAUUGUCACAUAUUUCAUUAUAUAUUUCUGCAUAUGCACAUGUAUUUGAGUCUGGUUGGUUAAUUUAACACAUCAGAAAGUUCUGAAAUACUCAGCCACUCCCUGCAUUGUUACCUUUAGAAUAUAAUUGUUUAAUUGUUGCACAAUUAAACAGUGUUUUUGAUUUAUUGAUAAGGAAUUAUUGAUUUGGAAUUUAUUUUACUUUUCUACUCUAAAUUAAGUGUGGAUAUUGGUCACUAAAGUCACUCACAGCUCUCAGUGGUCCUCAUCUCAAUGUGUAAGCUAUGGCUGAUCACACAGUAAACCGUAUGUAUGAUUAAUAUAUUUUCCAGUCUCCACCAAGUAUCUGGAGAAUUAAUGCUGCUUAAUAUAACCAUAUUAUGACUAACGGUAUGCUCAGCUUUCUCUUGGAAGAUUAUAGUGCCUGGGAGAGCAUUAUAAUCUUCCAAGAGAAAGCUAAGCAUAACGUUAGUGAUGUGAUAUAUAUAUAUAUAUACAUAUCACAUCACUAAUCGCUAAUAUCUCUCACACCAGAAAACUGCUAAUUCCUGGG